rnacentral:sRNA from 1 species
AAAUAGCCCUGAUAGCAGUGGAAAUCCUUUUAUGUUUUUCUUUAAAAUAUAAAAGAUUGAAACGAAUAGCAGGAAUAGCU